UAUAAAUUUCUAGCGGCCGCCAGGUAAAAUAUUUUUUCCUUGCACCUACUGGUUUUCGUAGACGUCAGAUACUGCUUACCUGCAUAAAACUUUUAAUUAAAUUAAAGGUUUUUGUUCAGGGAAAAGGUUUCUUGGUGACGCAUGCCAAACAAAUGAGGAUUGUACUGGAACUCCAAACGGCGGAAUUUGUAGAAAUCCAGAAAACUAUGAAUAUAACCAUGGGAAGUGUCAUUGUAAUGAUGGCUUUACGGAGUUUGCAAAUCGAUGUCUACAAGAAAACAGACGCCUUCAUGAACACUGUGAAGAAGACGUCCAAUGUAAUGGAACGAAGCACGCAUCAAAAUGUUCCUUAAAUGUUUGCAUAUGCAUGUGAAGAAGACUUCAUCGACUUUCAGAAUGAAUGUCUAAAUUAUUCUGUGGGACUUGGUGACGAAUGUAAACUCAAUGCAC